AGGAAUUGCUGACAUUUUGUCUGACUUUUGAGAGGGAAAGAUGUAAAAGCUCUGCCCCACUCCUGCAGGACAGCAAUUCUAUUUCAAGUUUAGUAUUAACUGGGCACAUUUAUUAGAAAGGAAAGCUGUGAUAAGGAAGAGGCUGGCACUGCCAUGUGUGUCCAAUCCUGCAUUAUUUACUGCAGCAUCUCUGACUUUUAGCCACUUCUCUUUCUGCCUUCUCAAGGCUCUCUGCAUAUCCAGAAGAAUUGUCCCUCUCCUGCUCCCAAGAUGAGACUGAUGGUGGGAAAGGAAACUUCAAGCAAGCUGAUGCUGGAGUAGCCAUGAGGUGCCUAAUGAGGUGAUUAGAAUGAUUAGGAUAAUGAGGCACUGAUGUGAGAGCCUGUGUUAUCCCACUGGGACUUCCACCAAGGCACAGGAGACUGGAGGAUGCAGCCAGGCUCAGAGCAGCUUGGAAGGAUGGAGAUGAUGUUUCCAGAUCUCCCCUUGAUGCCACCAGGAUGCAGCUCUGCACUGGCACAGCAGGAGUCUGCUUUAGAGGGAAGGAAAUUCCAGGGUCCCAUCCUGCUGGACAGCUGGAGGAUGUUCCCACCAAAUGAUCAGCAGGUCGAGGAUGCUGCAUAAAACACUCAGCAGUGCCCCUUUAACGUGGAAGCAACUUGACUUUUAUUGCCAGUGCUGAAAGCAUCUACAAAUGUAGAUUUAGAAUCAGCCUCCAGGCUUAAGAUACAGCUGUUAUAUUUUCCUUUCUUCCUUUAAUUUUUUUCCCCCCUCUCCUUUGCACUAAUGUAAUGCUUAUUUAGGAACUACAGCCAUCUGUGGUUGCUAGGGAUGGCACUGUUAAAUUUGCUGUUGCUUUCUUUCCCCUGGUUUGAUGAGGCUCUGAGUGCACAGAGAAUUCCCCAGGACAGCAGAGACUUGCUUUGAUUGCUUUUUUUUUCCUUUUUGGAAACACAUCCCAAAGACAUUGUUCACAGGGCUCUGUCUGUGCUGGGAAAAGGUGGUCAGCUGGGGAGCUGAGAUCCUGCCUUGUCGUGGGUUAAUGAGGUGAGAUUAUGAGGAGCCAGGCAGCAGAAGAAGGUGAUGAAAUUGGAAGGGAUGGCAAAUAAAAAGGAAGGGAAGGAGGAAGGGCUGGGAGCA
rnacentral:lncRNA from 1 species